rnacentral:antisense_RNA from 1 species
UUUGAUGGACCCCAGCCAUAGCGGCCGAUCCGCUGGCCGAUCCCGACCGUACGUCGCUAGAAGCGCCUGCGCCUC